rnacentral:rRNA from 1 species
CAGUAGCCGCGGGAAAACGUAGGUGGCAAGCGUUGUCCGGAAUUAUUGGGCGUAAAGCGCGCGCAGGUGGUUUAGUAAGUCUGAUGUGAAAGCCCACGGCUCAACCGUGGAGGGUCAUUGGAAACUGUUAAACUUGAGUGCAGGAGAGAAAAGUGGAAUUCCUAGUGUAGCGGUGAAAUGCGUAGAGAUUAGGAGGAACACCAGUGGCGAAGGCGGCUUUUUGGCCUGUAACUGACACUGAGGCGCGAAAGCGUGGGGAGCAAACAGGAUUAGAUACCCCCGUAGUCCCUGUCUCUUAUAC